GGGAGCAUAGCUCAGUUGGGAGAGCAUCUGCCUUACAAGCAGAGGGUCAUAGGUUCGAGCCCUGUUGUUCCCACCA
rnacentral:tRNA from 2 species